GGCAGACGGGCAGAGACUAUGGUGGCAAAGGGGCCAGCCCAGAACACUGAGAGCGGAAGGCGGAGGUUGGGAAGCACAGUGCCUGGGGCGGGUGAUGCUGCAGGAGGGAUAAGUUCUCCGUGGGAAGGUUAUCGGUGUAAAGGGGAAAGAGAUUUGGGAGCGCUCUGUGACAUGAAAAUAUGAGAGUAAAUUUGGAAUUCCUCUCUUUCUGGAUGUGGCCGUAGAUGAGAUCUAUAUGAUUUAGAAGAGCUCCACAUUUUGCAACAUCAUCUUCAGACAUCAGAGAAUGCAAUGGACUUUGAAAAUGCGUCGGGAAACCAUAGCUGUAGGAAUGAGAUAAUGCAGAAAAAAGACCUUAACCUUCAGGAGGAAGAAUUUAAUUCAGAUGACUAUUUGUCAGAUGAUAGUCAAUCCAGACACAAGGCGGAGCGGCGGAGAGCGAAGAAGAAGGUGAG